UACGGGGGGAGCAAGCGUUGUUCGGAUUUACUGGGCGUAAAGGGCGCGUAGGCGGCCACCGCAAGUCGACUGUGAAAAAUCUGGGCUCAACCCAGUGGAGCACUCGAUACUGCGGUGACUAGAGUACGGUAGAGGAGUGUGGAAUUCCUGGUGUAGCGGUGAAAUGCGCAGAUAUCAGGAGGAACACCAACGGCGAAGGCAGCACUCUGGGCCGGUACUGACGCUGAGGAGCGAAAGCGUGGGGAGCAAACAGG
rnacentral:rRNA from 1 species